GAUGAACGCUGGCGGCAGGCCUAACACAUGCAAGUCGAGCGGCAGCGGGACCUUCGGGUUGCCGGCGAGCGGCGGACGGGUGAGUAAUGCCUAGGAAUCUGCCUGUUAGUGGGGGAUAACGCGGGGAAACUCGCGCUAAUACCGCAUACGUCCUACGGGAGAAAGCGGGGGCUCUUCGGACCUCGCGCUAACAGAUGAGCCUAGGUCGGGUUAGCUAGUUGGUGGGGUAAUGGCUCACCAAGGCGACGAUCCGUAACUGGUCUGAGAGGAUGAACAGGCACACUGGAACUGAGACACGGUCCAGACUCCUACGGGAGGCAGCAGUGGGGAAUAUUGGACAAUGGGCGAAAGCCUGAUCCAGCCAUGCCGCGUGUGUGAAGAAGGUCUUCGGAUUGUAAAGCACUUUAAGUCGGGAGGAAGGGCUGUAGGUUAAUACCCUGCGGCUUUGACGUUACCGACAGAAUAAGCACCGGCUAACUUCGUGCCAGCCGCCGCAGUAA
rnacentral:rRNA from 1 species